UAAUUUGAAGUUAAAUAAGGCUUAUAGCUUGUUACGGUGAUUUGGUGGAUUAU
rnacentral:tRNA from 1 species